UACGUAGGGGGCAAGCGUUGUCCGGAUUUAUUGGGCGUAAAGAGCGUGUAGGCGGCCUGACAGGUCUGCUGUGAAAACUCGAGGCUCAACCUCGAGAUGUCGGCGGAAACCGUCUGGCUAGAGUCCGGAAGAGGCGAGUGGAAUUCCUGGUGUAGCGGUGAAAUGCGCAGAUAUCAGGAGGAACACCUAUUGCGAAGGCAGCUCGCUGGGACGUAACUGACGCUGAGACGCGAAAGCGUGGGGAGCAAACAGG
rnacentral:rRNA from 1 species